UACGUAGGGGGCAAGCGUUGUCCGGAUUUAUUGGGCGUAAAGAGCGUGUAGGCGGCCACACAGGUCAGCUGUGAAAACUCGAGGCUCAACCUCGAGACGUCGGUUGAAACCGUAUGGCUAGAGUCCGGAAGAGGAGAGUGGAAUUCCCGGUGUAGCGGUGAAAUGCGCAGAUAUCGGGAAGAACACCCGUGGCGAAAGCGGCUCACUGGACCAUUACUGACGCUGAGGCUCGAAAGCUAGGGGAGCAAACAGG
rnacentral:rRNA from 1 species